CGCAGAUCCGAUAUUUGCCUGAUUUCUCUCAUGAAGACAUGGCAGACUUUCAGUUAAGUAGCACCAAUUAACAUAGCAAGUGUUGCAUAUUAAAAAAAGCUCAGCUGUGCUCUGUAGAAAUUAUUUUAUUGUAAAGUAUAAGUUUUACAAACUACAGGGAGAUAUUACAGAGAGAAAAUUUUAAGACUUAAAAUCUAAAAUGGGAAUAUGAAAAUUGAUUGAUGAGGUAAUUUGUCCUAUUGUGCUGUAUUGCAUUAAAGUGGCUCGUAGGUUCGUAGAAGAGUGGAAAGACCUAUUACUUUAUUAAGUGAAUUGCAGCACCACUGGUGGAUAUAAUAGUUUCUGAUCCACAGAGAAUAUAGGUUUGCUACAGCAAUCAGCUUCGUAUCUGAGGCUGUAGGGAUAAAGCAUUUAGCUUUGGAAGUCACUACUUCAAUCCCCCAUCAAAAGUUAAAUCACAAGAAUUUGAGAGAAACCACCAAAAUACGCAGACAUAAUUAGGCAACUUAUCCUGCUUGUUAUUGAAAAAGGUUCAUGAUAUGCAACUACUAACAAGUAGUGAUUCAGUCUGAACCCAGAAUAACAACUUAUAGUACCGCUAUAUUGGGAAACUGGCAAUACUGAUGAUGUGCGUAAGUAUAGCAAAGGUAGAAUAGAUACAAGGAAAAAAAAAUAGAUGUUUCAUCACUGGAGCAGGGGAGAAGGAAAGUGGCAUGAUGGUGAGCUCUGACAAAAACUAAUAUCCACUACCAGAAGCCUGGUUCUCAGACUGUUGAUAUUUGACUACAUACUAACCAGGAUUAAUGAUGUAACUCAGGCUAUUGAUCCUUUAGGAUCAGGGUGUAUGUGCAAGAGGUCACCCACACCUCGAACACUUAUGUCUAGGCAGGAGGCUGGAGGACUUGAGGCUGCCCAUCCCCACUUUAGGCCAUUGAGAAGGAAUCCAAAGGCCAGACCAAGUCCAGAUGUUCAGUGCCUCGGGGGCUGUAGUUACAUACACAUCCAAGAAUUGAACCCAGAUCCACUGCAUGGCGCACAAGGAGUCUACCGCCAAACCACAGGGGAUUCUGGGUAUGGGUAGUGACAACAGAAACUUAACUGAUCUUUUUAAUGUUCUGUUUGAGGCUUUGCUACAGGUCAGGGCAAAAGGCAAGGAACACAAGACUCCACCAGCAUAAAGCCAAUGAGGAGCAGUGCUACAAAAUGAAAUGCCAUCACUGUGUUGGCAAAAAGUUGCUGAGGCAGACUGGAAUGCUUUCUGAGUUUGAUAUAACGGGAACCCUUCAAUGAAGCUGUGACAGGGAGUCUACAGAAGAUAUAAUUCCUGCUCAAAGAAACAGAAAUUCCUUUUAAAUGGAAAAAGAGAAGGAAUGUGCUGGAAAGGAGGUCUUAGAUCUGCUGCCAGCAUGCCACUCAUCAGUGACACACACUGAAAGAUGCAUUACUCAGCUGAAGCUGCACAUCCAUGGUGAGUAUGCUAACACUUCAUACAGAUAUUCCAUUCAUCUGUUCCAUUAACCCAGUGAUUCUCAACCAGAGUGCUGCAGCACCCUGGGGUGCCUUGAGA